rnacentral:rRNA from 1 species
AGGAUUCCCCUAGUAACGGCGAGUGAAGAGGGAAAAGCUCAAAUUUAAAAGCUGUUGUCUUUCAGGCAACCGCAUUGUAAUCUCAAGAAGUGUUUUCGAUUGUAGCCUGCGUAUAAGUACCUUGGAAUAGGUUGGCAUAGAGGGUGAAACUCCCGUCUUUGAUGCAGAUUACUAUGAUCAUGUGAUACACUUUCUAAGAGUCGAGUUGUUUGGGAAUGCAGCUCAAAAUGGGUGGUAAAUUCCAUCUAAAGCUAAAUAUUGGCCUGAGACCGAUAGCGAACAAGUACCGUGAGGGAAAGAUGAAAAGCACUUUGGAAAGAGAGUCAAACAGAACGUGAAAUUGCUGAAAGGGAAGCGUUUGAAGUUAGUCUGAUAGGAGUUGUUCAAUUGUUACUUUGGUUUCAAUGUAUGCAACUUUUUAUCGGUCAACAUCAAUUUUGAUUGAUGGAUAAAGGUAAUAGGAAUGUGGCUACAAUUUGUAGUGUUAUAGCCUAUUAUCAUAAACAUUGAUUGAGAUUGAGGACGGCAGUGUACCUUUUAGGAAGGUGUUCGCACCUAUUACACUAAGGA